GGUUUGGUUAGAGUAUGUUCAAGUUGGAGUGCAUUUAAUGCAAAGAUAUGUAAGUGUGUCCAGAUAAUAGUAAUACCUAGAGCUGUCCAUUUGUGUAAAUAUAAGUGAGAGCAUAUGUAUUAUAGUUGAAAUGCUAGAACUGUCCAUUUAGGUGUGCAUUCAGUGCGUAGGUAUUUGUGUAAAUCCAGAUGGCAGUAAUUCCAAGAACUGUCCAUUUGUGGAAAUAGAAGUGUUAUCAUAUGUAAUGUAGUUAACAUGCUUGUCACCUUUCUAUGUUUGUUAACUCCUUUGUUAUUUAAUUUAAAUAUUCUCUUUCAGAGAAGACUGUAUAAUGCACGCA
rnacentral:misc_RNA from 1 species